CCUCUCUCCUCAUCAUGCUCUUUCUCGAUCUCUCGAUCUCUAUCCCGAUGCGGACAAGCGACGGUGGCUGCCACGACCGUGGUUCGGCGGCGCUGCCCACCCUCCUCCUCCUCCGUCGCCUCCUCCUCCUCCUCCUCCAUUCCUCAUUCGCACGCCUACUUCUCGGCUCUGUUCCUCCCUCCCCUUCUCCCUCUCUGUACCUCCCGAGGUGGCAGCGGGCGCGAGGUGACGGAGCCCCCCGCAGGUGGCACAUCCGCGGGGGUGUGGCCCAGCGGCCCCCUCCCUCUCUCUCAUCCUCUGCGCGGGCUCCUUAACGCCUCCUGCCGGGGAGCAUGUGCUUGUUCGCUCGGUGAAACCCUAGAACACGCGGUUGUGCAGGUGCGGUGGCCCGUUCAUAGCACCAUAGCAGCUAGUGCGAAAUUCAGCUGCUAGCAGCACAGGCGUCAUUAAGUGGAUUGUACCAGCUCUUUUAUGCUGUGUUAUGAUCCAUGUAAUUUGAGAUAUGAUCUGCUACUCAUGGAGUUGGAUAAAAAGAAGGCUAGUAAUUUUUGCAGCCAUGUACCUGCAAAUCAAUAGAGAUUCAAUCCACUGACACUCUGCAAGUUUCAGGGUGAUGAUUUGUUACAGGUCAAUCUUCUUAGCACACCUCUCUGUGUUGGGUUUUAUCAAGUCAGGAGGACUAAUCAGUUCAGUAACUUAUGUUUGGCUAUCCUGGAAAACACCCACUGCUUUUAGGUACUUCAUUAUUUGUAGAGGAGAAAAAUGAAGUAGACUGUUCCUGCUUUUGGUACUGGCCGAGCUUCAGCUCGUGCUAUGACAGGGCAGCCUGCGAAGAAAGUGGAUAUGGGACAUCGAUGAGAUACUAUUUUGCUCAUCACUUCUGGAUGCUCAUAUGCUGGGACUUUCAACAGCCUCAAGGAUUGUGAGAAAAGUACUAAAAUAGGGAAAUGAGGGGAGGACCUCAUUGUUCAAUUCUGUGAUCACCACUUCUUUUAUGUGGAAGUCAGUUAGCAUAUAAAUUGGGUACUGCCAUACAUGGUAGCUAUGUACUAUAUCAUCAACAAAUGAUUGAGAACUACAAUGAACCCUAUCUCAAUGCUUUCAAGAAAUAUAAUGAUGGGAGAUACUUGGCCUCAUAUGAUUUCGAGGCUGACUGUUUUAGUUCACCCUAUGAUGACGUGAACCGAAAAAUCUUCCUUACAUACAUACAUCAUGCUAUUGGAAACAUAUAUGCCGAUACUAACUAAGAUUCUUUCAUAAAAAAGGCCCCCCUGUUGUGAGACAGUUUACUUUUCAGCCAUGGUAUCUAUAGCGUCACAACCAACUGCAGAUGUUUAUGUGGUCACUGGUGACAUGUGGAGUACAAUGGACAAUUGUGGGCAUUGGAGGAGGCGAGCAGUCCACAUGCAUGAUAAUACUAUUUCCCCAUAAUGAAUUAAAUGCUGCACAUGGCUGUUCAGUGGUGCACAUCUUUCAGCUCUGUAACUGAAAACAGUAUGGCAACUACAUAUCCAGUUCUUCAUGUAAUAAACCACACCCUUGUAUAUUUAUGGCCUUUUUGUGAAUAUGUUUUCUCUUAAAUCCAUCAGUGCAGCAUUGAUUUUCCUACUGCAAAAUCUUUGUCAAGCAAUUGAUAUAUUAUAUCUGUUCAAGAGGGAUCAACGACUUUGCCAGUCUGCUAUCAGAGUGGACAAGCAUCUUCUCAUUUUUUGAGAAUUCAGAUUCAUGUCAAUUCGUCCGAUUUCUCAUAUCGAUUUUAAAGAACGUCGACUCCACAUAGAUUAUGGACAUUGUAAUCGUCCAUUGUUUAUUGCUGAGGGCCACAUGCUGCUCAUUUAAGAGGGCACAUAUUGGAGAUUUCAAACAAAGGAUCUGCCAUUGAUCAACAUCUACUGGCUUCCACUUCAAUUUACCAGUGUAUAAUUUUACUCCUAAGCUGUUUCUAUCCUUUUGUCUGCUAAGAGAGUUUUAAAGAAGGUUGGAAUGAACUAGUCUAAACAAGGAUAUACGAUACUGAAGAAGAGGAGACCACCAUGAUCUCCAUGACUACAAUGUAAGUGAGAUAUGCACAUGUAGCUGAUCGAACAUAUUCUGAGGGCCUAUGUAUAUGAAAGGGAUUUUGUCCACCAUUCUAGAGAUUCUUCUAUGUAGAUCAGCGACCUUUUUCUUCAUCGUAGUUCUAUGUUGUGAUCCAGGUAUAAUUUUUCAAAAUUUUUAAUUCCUGAUGAUAUACUAAAUGUCUAAAUCUAUGUAUCAGUUCAGUUUCAUGCAA